AAGCCCGCAAGGGUGAGUAGAGUGGCAAACGGGUGAGUAACACGUGGGUGACCUGCCUCAGAGUGGGGGAUAACGACCCGAAAGGGUCGCUAAUACCGCAUAACAUCCUGCGUUUAGAGACGCGGAGAUCAAAGCCGGGGUCGCAAGACCUGGCGCUUGGAGAGGGGCCCGCGGCCGAUUAGCUAGUUGGUGAGGUAACGGCUCACCAAGGCGACGAUCGGUAUCCGGCCUGAGAGGGCGGACGGACACACUGGGACUGAGACACGGCCCAGACUCCUACGGGAGGCAGCAGUGGGGAAUUGUUCGCAAUGGGCGCAAGCCUGACGACGCAACGCCGCGUGGAGGAUGAAGAUCUUCGGG
rnacentral:rRNA from 1 species